UACGUAGGGUGCGAGCGUUGUCCGGAAUUAUUGGGCGUAAAGAGCUUGUAGGCGGUUUGUCGCGUCUGCCGUGAAAAUUCGAGGCUCAACCUCGAACUUGCGGUGGGUACGGGCAGACUAGAGUGUGGUAGGGGAGACUGGAAUUCCUGGUGUAGCGGUGAAAUGCGUAGAGAUCCGGAGGAACCCCAGAGGCGAAGGCGGCCCCCUGGCUCGUACCUGACGCUCAGCCACGAAAGCAUGGGGAGCGAACGGG
rnacentral:rRNA from 1 species